rnacentral:rRNA from 1 species
GACGAACGCUGGCGGCGUGCCUAAUACAUGCAAGUUGAGCGCUGAAGGUUGGUACUUGUACCAACUGGAUGAGCAGCGAACGGGUGAGUAACGCGUGGGGAAUCUGCCUUUGAGCGGGGGACAACAUUUGGAAACGAAUGCUAAUACCGCAUAAAAACUUUAAACACAAGUUUUAAGUUUGAAAGAUGCAAUUGCAUCACUCAAAGAUGAUCCCGCGUUGUAUUAGCUAGUUGGUGAGGUAAAGGCUCACCAAGGCGAUGAUACAUAGCCGACCUGAGAGGGUGAUCGGCCACAUUGGGACUGAGACACGGCCCAAACUCCUACGGGAGGCAGCAGUAGGGAAUCUUCGGCAAUUGACGAAAGUCUGACCGAGCAACGCCGCGUGAGUGAAGAAGGGUUUCGGAUCGUAAAACUCUGUUGGUAGAGAAGAACGUUGGUGAGAGUGGAAAGCUCAUCAAGUGACGGUAACUACACAGAAAGGGACGGCUAACUACGUG